CGUGAAAGCGAGUCCGACGCGUAAAGGAACGAAAGUCCCGUCGGCUCGUAGAAUGGAGUAGCGCUCGUUCGAUGCAUUUCCGGUGGGUAAGCGCCGUGACCGAUGCGAAUAGCCGGCUAGCGAAGCCGUCGGAUUGAGGGCGAGUUCGUUCGCGAGUCUCGUAACCAGUCCGUCGGUCGUAAUAGAAAUCGUUAGACCGUAGCAUCGAGAGAAUGAGAAUUCGAACGUCGGCGAAUCUUACGCGCUCGCCUAAUACGAUGGACGUACGUUCGGUCGAUGGUCACCUGCUCGCAGGUUUCAGUCGUACUAUGGGCGUAUCGGAAAUCGUUGGUGACGUUUACGACGUUCGGGUGUCUACGGCGUCCGAGUCGGUCGCCCGUCCGACCCGUCUUGAAACACGGACCAAGGAGUCUAACGUAAGCGCGAGCUAAUGGGCGGAAAACCCAUAAGCGCAAUAAAAGUAAAAGUCGUUUCGGACGGCUUAGGUACGAUCCCGCAGGGCGAAUAAUCCUCGGGCGCAGUACCGUCCCGUCCCGACCGCUCGUCGGUAGGGCGGAGACAGAGUGCAUACGUUGGGGACCCGAA
rnacentral:rRNA from 1 species